rnacentral:lncRNA from 1 species
GUUUCAUCCAUUCCACUAUUCGCUAGUGCUAAUCUACGCUGUGAUAGGGAGGAGGAGGAGGAAGGGAUCGAGCAGCCGGAGGUGCCGAGCACGAGCGCGCGCCUGGACCCCAUCCGCCGCACCACCGGCGAGCCCACCACCGAGAACGCCGUGAACGACGUUCUGGGCGGCGUGGUAGGCGAGGAAGACGAAGAGGAAGGCCGAGCUCAGCAGGUGCAGGUCGCGGGUCUGGGACGUCGCCGCCCUCGCCGCCGCCGCGGCGCCGCGUCCGCCGGAUACCAGCGGGGCGGCCUCCUCCUCCUCCUCGUCGAGGGCCACCGCGAGCUCGGCUCCGGCGGGAGCGUGGCCGUCUUCCAUGGCGGAUUUGGGGGGAGGAGUUGGUGGUGGCGUGGCUUCGGUGCCAAACUGCGCGAGCACUCUGCUCUGCUUGUGAUUUGGGGGAAGGGGGGAGGGGCUUGUUUUUCUAAAUUUAAGGUCUACGGGGGGUGUUUGUGAUAAAUUAAGUGGUUUCAGGAGAAUAGCAGAUAGUUUAGGGGGUCUUUGUGAGAAUUUUAGCUGUUUCGUGUCCGAAGAAGUCCGAACC